UACGUAGGUGGCGAGCGUUGUCCGGAUUUACUGGGCGUAAAGAGCGCGCAGGCGGCUGGGCAAGUCCGAUGUGAAAGCUUCCGGCUUAACUGGAAAAUUGCAUUGGAAACUGCUCGGCUUGAAGGUGGGAGAGGGUAGCGGAAUUCCCGGUGUAGUGGUGAAAUGCGUAGAUAUCAGGAAGAACACCUAUGGCGAAGGCAGCACUCUGGGACGGUACUGACGCUGAGACGCGAAAGCGUGGGGAGCGAACAGG
rnacentral:rRNA from 1 species